AUUCAUAUUUACUUUGCUUUGUCUAUAAAGGUCUUCCUCCUACUUGCCUGCAGAACAUUUUGUUUCUGAAUUAACUUAAAAAAUUAGUAUAUGUCUUGGAGUUUGAAGCUUUAUAACUUUCUUUUUCUUGGAGGCAAUCAAUGAAUUCUUUCCAUUGGUAUUCCAUUUUCUAUAUUCAAAAGUUCUGGGCAGUUUUAUUAUUUCCUGCAUUAUGGUGUUAAGAAUUUUUUGUUUUGUUAUGUUUUUAUGGAUGACCUAAAAUCCUUAGAUUGUAUCUACACAUUUUGUCUUCAAGAUCUGUAUGAUUUGCUUUCAUAGUGAACAUAUUUUCUUUUAAUGCUAUUAUUUUCUGUUUCUCUUCUAGAUUGUCCUUCAAUACAUAUAACUCGAUUCCCAAUUUACUGUUCUCUUUUUUAUUCCUUUAGUCAGACUUGCCUUUGAAGAUUUUAGUUUUUUUCUUCUCCCUUGCUAUUUAGGCCACAAAUUCUGUUCUCAGAAUUCUCACUUCUCUUUUGAACUACUUAGAAACAGUGUAUUAUGGUUCCAUGUUCUUCUCAAAUCCCCUGGGGUCCUCUGUCUCAUAAAGUGUUUGAUCAUUUUCCUUUGUCUUGCAAUAUUUAUUCAUAGAUAUCUGAAUCCACAUACUAGAGCUGGAGUCCAUAUAUCUUUUUGCUGUCAGUGUUUUUCCUGUGGUGGUAUCUGCUUGUGUUCAAGAUGGGGGAACAGAAGGAGAGAAGAGUAA
ensembl:lncRNA